CUCAACCUGUGAGAUUGAAGCAGCAUGGUUGUCUGGGGUAAUACGUGUGGUUUGUUGCCCCACGCCAAGGAAAUCGAGGAUGGGGACACAAAAGGAGUGGGUUCAAGAGCGGAAGUUUAGCAGGCAAAAGAAAGAAGAGACCUUCCCUGUGCAGAGGAAGGAGUCCCGAACAGGUUUCCGGGUUUACAGCGAGAUGCGGUUGCUUUUAUAGAUGAGCUUGAGGAAGCGGUGUCUUAUUUACGUAGGGCACAGAGGAUUGGUUGGACCAGGUGUUCCAUUUACAUAGCACAGGAAGAGGCUGGCCAUCCCACCCUCAUCUGUUAUUAUGCAAAUGGCACCUCUACCUAGCCCAGGCCUUGUUGCCUGCUUUUUUACUGCACACGUGGCAACAAAGAAAAGGGAAAAGGGAACUUCAAUAUUGAAUAUACCUGACUUCCAAGUAUCCCUUUCCUAUUGGCACAGCUGCUGGCAUUCGCCUAUGCAAGCUUCCAGUUUGCUUAUCUAUGUUUGCAGCUUGAGUUUUCAGGCUCUUUUUGUUAGAAAAGAAAUGAUUUGGGGCUUCUUUUUAUUAAAAGGCAAACCUUACUGAGGACUCUUUUAUCCUCACUAACUGCCUAAAUAAAUUUUGUUUAGGUGUUGUAUCAGGAUCUGAUGCUAUCUCCAGGUAGACAGUGUCAGAAUUAAAUAGGAGGAUACCCAACCAGUGUCUGCUGCAGAAUUGAUUGCCUUCUUGUUAAUGGGGAGAAAUCACUACGCAUUUGGUCACAGAAGUCUUCUGUGUUUAUUGUUGUGGCAUGAGAGCAGAGGAAAAACGGUUUGAGAUUUUUCCCCUCAAAAACAUAGGGGAAAUCUUCAUGAUAUUGGACUUGGCAAUGAUUUAUUGGCUAUGACACCAAAAGCACAGACAACAAAAACAAAAGUAGACAAAUGGGACUACAUCAAACUUAAAAACUUCUGCAUAUAAAAGGAAAUAAUCAAUG
rnacentral:lncRNA from 10 species